CACUGCCCUGAAGUUUAGAAGGAGAAAAAGCAGCGGUUGCUGCUGUUGUUACUCCAAAAUAGAUAGAAAGAAAUCAAAGAGUAGAAACUCAGAGAAUUCGAAGGGGUCUUGAGCUGAGCAGGUAAUGAAUAUUAAAGUGCAGUCGAUUCAGGAAAUGGUGAUGUUUAAUGAAGAAGAAAUCAAGGAAGAACUGCAGCCAUUAAAAGAAGAAAUUGGAGGUUGCUGAUGUAAAAUCAAGAGAUUCAUCUGCUGGUGAAAGCUUACACAGGUGACGAUUCAAGAUUUCAGUUUAGGGUUUGUGUUGGAAUCUGUUUAGAUGGAAGAAAUGUUGAAGAUGUCGACUGAUUUCAAAGGGGUUUGAUGGAGAAUCUGUUGUUGUUGGAGUUUAAGGAAGAAAUUCAAGCCUGUUCAGAGAUGAGAGUGGGGAUCGAUUAGGGUUCGAUGGAAGAAUUCGUGGAGAUUCGGAUGAAGUAACUAGAGUAAUGGGUUUGUGAUGUUUUCUGGAUUCUUAUUUACAGUUAGGGUUUUGAUUAAAGAGAAGAACCAGAAGAAUUCAGAUCGAGGAUGAGUCCUGGUGUGAUUUAGAAGAGGGGUCUGUGGUGUUGAGAAGGUUUAAAAACAUGGGUUUGUCUUUGAUUCCUAGAUGGCAGCAGAUAGACUAGAAUUUGUGAUGAUUUGGUCAAGAAUUAUGUCAAAGAUGUGUUGAUGAUGGAGUUGGAUUUUAAGCAGAGAAAUUGUUCGAGAAUGCAGCUGAGGAUGUGAUGCUGCUGUUGUGGUGUUGGUUGAAUUACAGGGAAGAAGGAGCUAUAUGUGAGUUGGAGAUGAAUCUGAGAUGUGCCAGGAGUUGUGAAGCAAUUGAUCUGGUGGUCUGAUUGCAGAAACCAAGAACUGAAGGUUUGUUGAGUGAAUGACUGUGUGAAACUGAGCUGCGGGUGUUGGCUGUUAUGGUGGUUAUGAAGUAUAAUGUGCUGAGUAUUACAGAGUGCAGUAGUGUUGUUGCAGUUUUGUCGGUACUCAUGGAUUUAUGAUGAGCUGAAAUUCAAAUGGCAGUUGUUGUUGUUGGAUGAGUUUUGCAGCUGCAAUUGCAACUGAGACAAGAAGAAAGUGCAGUGGUUGCAGGUGAUGGCAGGUUGCAAGAAGGUGCAGGUUAUGGAGGAAUGGCUCAAUUUUUGUGCUGUUAUGAAGAUUAGUGGGCUGAAAUUACAGGGAAUGACAUUGAAGAUGGCUGCAAUUGAGUGAUAAGCAUGUGGAGCUGAAGUGGAAGUGGAUUAGACUGUGUUUGAUGCUGAGGUUGUAUGUGAAGUUGCAGUCUAGAACUGAAUUCAGAGAGUAGAUGGAAAGUGCUGGUGGUUUGGCUGAAGGGUUGUAUGAACUGAAGUCGAGCUGAUGCUGCUAGUUGUGUAUAUGAAUGUGUAGGAUUAUUGCAUUGGCAGAAUGAAGUUGUUGUUGUUGCAAGCAAUUACAGGUGCAGCGGUAAUAUAAUGGUGGUUGGCUUUGUGUCGAGGUAUUGGAGUUGUUGUGCUGCAACAGAGUUGAAGCUGAAGCAAGACUAGACUGAGAAGAUGCAGUUGCAGGUUAAGAUGUCAGUGUGCUAGGUAUGUGUGGAUGAACUGACGUUACUACAAUGGCAGUGGUAUUUGAGACUUUUUGAGCUUGUAGUUGUUUUAGAGCUUGAGAUGUUAAGCAGAUACAAGGAACAGGAGUUGCGGCAGGUGCUGGCUAGGAAUAAUGAGCUUAAUGGGUUCUGAUGGAUGCAACAUCAGUUUUGGUGUUGAAAGAAAGCUGAGAUUGAUCAAGAUAUUUCAGGAUGUCUGUUGGUGAGAUAGUGCAGAUGCAGCUAUAUGUUAGAGUUGUGAUGCAGUUGCAGUUGCAGGAUGAACAGUCAUAGUGGAUGGAUUUGCACUGGUGAAGCACAAUGAUGGUGCAGCACAAUGAUGGUGCAGCACAACUUCAAGCCUGUGCAAUGGUUCAGGCCAAGGCUAGUUAGACCCUGACUCAUUCAACUCAGCUUCUGACUAAUCCCCUGACUAAGCUGAGUUGACUGACUCAGAGUUGACUCAGUUGACUUUCCGAGUUACCCUGUUUGACCGGUAACCGGGUGGACUUUGCCGGUCACAUGUGACACUUUUCCGGUAACAUUUCCGGACAACUUCCGGCACAUGUACCAGUUUUACUGCGACCUCUUUUGGGACAUAUUUUCACUUGGAGACUCUUCACAUAUGGGCUUGGUGGAUAUCUUGUUAUUGGACUUUGGAGAUUGGACUUAAUCUUCCGAAGACUUGACCUAAGAAGAGCUAUAAAAAGAAAAAUUUUCUACAACUUUGGGGAUCACGUAUUUUUCUACUUGGAGUUUUGGAGGAGAGCGGCGAUUCUACUAGGGUUUGCUUUCGUAUAUUUUUCAUUUCUUUAUUUUAUGAAAAUGUUAUGAUGAACUCCAUUACUAUGAGUAACUAAACAUUAUUAUUGGUUAUGG